rnacentral:tRNA from 5 species
GGGCGGGUGGCUUAGGGAAUAGAGUAACAGAUUCCAGAUCUGUGGGUCGGGGGUUCAAAUUCCUCCGCGCUCG